AUGAAAUUUCUCUAUGUUCUACCUGGUUGGGAGGGUUCGGCAUCAGAUUCAAGAGUGCUAAAAGAUGCUAUGAGAAUCGAUCGCGAAGAUGAAUUUGUUGUACCACAGGGAAAGUACUAUCUUGUUGAUGCUGGCUAUACCAAUGGACCUGGAUUUCUAUCUCCAUUCAGAUCCACUCGGUACCACUUGAAAGAGUGGGUUGCAAGUCAACAACGUCCUUCACAAAAAAACCUCCUUUUUGGCACUCGGAAAAUGAAAAAUGAAUUUUCCGUGCAAAGAAAAUGA
rnacentral:rRNA from 1 species